AUUUAUAUAAUAUAUAAAGUAUAUUUAACUUCCAAUUAAAAAGUUUAUCCAUUAAUAAAAUAAUAUAAAUA
rnacentral:tRNA from 1 species